rnacentral:sRNA from 1 species
CAGGAGGAGGGGCAGGAAAGAAGCCAAAUGUCUCUCACAAUAAGAAAAGCCCAUCAUCUGCAAGAUCAUCCUCAGGCACAGGGCAGGCUGGAGCUCCUCCCAAAUUGCACGCUCCAUGCCAAAGAGGUCAAGCCACCAAAUGACACUGACUUCCUGCCUUUCAGAGCUUUAUCUCUGCGGACCUGGAGCUGCUGGUCACCAUGGAAACAGAAGCUUUUGUUCACCACUUCCUCUUCUCUUUUUCUCGCUCCCCACCCCUCGUCUUUCCUUCCUCUCCUCACACCCACUUGCCCUCCUCUCUACUUUCUUUCCUCUAUUUUUAUUCCUAAUUUUCUGUCUCACUUGCCCUGAUUUCCUCAUCUAUUUAUUUAAAAUUUAUUUAAAUUUUA